rnacentral:rRNA from 1 species
CACACUAAUAUUAAGCAAUUCUAUGCAAUUAUAGAAAAUUUUAUGUUAAAACUAGUAACAAGAAGAAGAACUUCUCAUAAAUGCAAGUGUAAAUUAGGAGGGACCUGCCACUAAUAAUUACCAUACAUGAGCUCACAGUAGCAACUUCACAAGAAAACCCUACUUGACCAUAUGUUAACCUAACACAAGUGCAUUUCAAGAAAGAUUAAGGGAGAAAGAAGGAACUCGGCAAACUUUAACCCCGCCUGUUUACCAAAAACAUCGCCUCUUGAAUUAUAUAAGAGGUCCAGCCUGCCCAGUGACUUUGUUCAACGGCCGCGGUAUCCUAACCGUGCGAAGGUAGCGUAAUCACUUGUUCUUUAAAUGAGGACUAGUAUGAACGGCACCACGAAGGUUAUACUGUCUCCUUUCUUUAAUCAGUGAAACUAAUCUCCCCGUGAAGAAGCGGGAAUAUAACUAUAAGACGAGAAGACCCUAUGGAGCUUUAAAUAUAGUAACAAAUGCUUACUUUAAUUUUUAUCCAAGGAGAUAAGCCAUAAUACUUAGGCAUUUUGAUUACAAAUUUUAGGUUGGGGCGACCCCGGAGUAAAAAAUAACCUCCACGGCGAAUGGAACCUGUUCCCUAAAUCAAGGACUACAACCCUAAGAAUCAAUAAAUUGACACCUAUUGACCCAAUAUUUUUGAUCAACGAACCAAGUUACCCUAGGGAUAACAGCGCAAUCCACUUCAAGAGCCCAUAUCGACAAGUGGGUUUACGACCUCGAUGUUGGAUCAGGGUAUCCCGGUGGUGCAGCCGCUACUAAAGGUUCGUUUGUUCAACGAUU